rnacentral:rRNA from 1 species
AAAUCAGUUAUCGUUUAUUUGAUAGUACCUUUACUACUUGGAUAACCGUGGUAAUUCUAGAGCUAAUACAUGCUAAAAAUCCCGACUGUUUGGAAGGGAUGUAUUUAUUAGAUAAAAAAUCAAUGCUCUUUGAGCUCUUUGAUGAUUCAUAAUAACUUUUCGAAUCGCAUGGCCUUGUGCUGGCGAUGGUUCAUUCAAAUUUCUGCCCUAUCAACUUUCGAUGGUAGGAUAGUGGCCUACCAUGGUUUCAACGGGUAACGGGGAAUAAGGGUUCGAUUCCGGAGAGGGAGCCUGAGAAACGGCUACCACAUCCAAGGAAGGCAGCAGGCGCGCAAAUUACCCAAUCCCGACACGGGGAGGUAGUGACAAUACAUAACGAUACAGGGCCCUUUCGGGUCUUGUAAUUGGAAUGAGUACAAUGUAAAUACCUUAACGAGGAACAAUUGGGGGGCAAGUCUGGUGCCAGCAGCCGCGGUAAUUCCAGCUCCAAUAGCGUAUAUUAAAGUUGUUGCAGUUAAAAAGCUCG